UACAGAGACUGCAAGCGUUAUUCGGAUUCACUGGGCGUAAAGGGUGCGCAGGCGGCCAAGUGUGUCAGGUGUGAAAUCCCGAGGCUUAACCUCGGAACUGCGCCUGAAACUACUUGGCUAGAGUACUGGAGAGGGUAACGGAAUUCACGGUGUAGCAGUGAGAUGCGUAGAUAUCGUGAGGAACACCAGAGGCGAAGGCGGUUACCUGGACAGUUACUGACGCUCAGGCACGAAAGCGUGGGGAGCAAAAGGG
rnacentral:rRNA from 1 species